ensembl:lincRNA Gm5833 predicted gene 5833
CAGGAUGCAAGGACAGCAUCUGAGAUGCCUUGCAGCUACAUUGUUGUCGAGCAUGCAAAUGAUUCCCACUAGAGAGGAGAAGGGAAAACAAAACAAAAAACAAAGCCAUCACAGGUCCGGUGGUGUUCCUGUGGAAGAACAAUGCCUUCCCAAGAAAUUGUCCCUGGAUUCUGUCACUGUGUUGGAAUAUAUGAUAGAAGAAGUUUAAGUUUGUAUGGAACUGGCACUCCUUAGCGGUUUUCCAGUUCUCUGUGUGUUGAGAGGAGUGACUUGCAGAAGGUGCCGGAUUUAAUGUGUAUUUGGCCAUCUCAGAGCCUCGCCCCAGGCCUUCCAUGCUGCUGUUCACAUUUCGUUGGCCCUGUCUAUUACCAUCAAGAAAGACUAAGAAGUUUUCUCCUCCAAUUGCCAAGAAGAAAGUAGGAGCAGGACUCUCUGCUCCAGGACAUAGGUCUUCCUGAUGGUCUCCAAUGACACCCCUACCAUAUCCCAGAAGGCCACUCAGAUGUUCUGAACCCAAGGAACACAUUAUCUCCCCACCUCCUCCUCAUCUCCCUCUUACUCCUCUAUCUUCAGGUUUCUACCCUUAACUUGGGAAGGAUGUUUACAGUUUUUAAGGCAAUACAUCACUCCCCCUUUAAAAUUUGCUUAUAUUUGUUUUCUAUGUAAAACUUUAAAAAAAAAGACUUCUCAGACAUGACUAUUAAAUUUAUAUUAUUUAUAUUCCUUGUUCUCUCAGCUCUCCCUGUACUCGCUCUUUCUCUCAAAUUCGUGACCUCUUUAUUUUUGCUGCAUAUAAACACAGGUACAUACAAGAGAUAAUUAUCUGUGAUCUCUAAUCACUCUGCUCUUGAAUCAGAAAACCUGUAUCAUCUAUUGUAUCAAAGGCUUAUUUUUGGAAUUAUAAGCCUGAAUAUGAAACUUUUGGUUGCUUGUUUGGUGUUUAUUGCUACCUUUAAUCUCUCCUGAGUCAAAGGUGGCUUGCCUCGAGCCAGAGAAAGUCACCAUAUAAUGAGGACCAAAACUAAACUAGCUCAUUUUUUAUAUCCAUUUACUCUUCAAAUAUCACUUUGCUUAAAUGUUCUGUUCAAGACUUCUAUAUUUUUAGAUUGAACUAUUGGUCAUGUUUAUAUUAAGAGUUAUUUUAUUAUCUUAAUUGUCAGUCUGUGGAUGGACAUGUGCAUGUGAAUGCAGGUGCUCACAAAGGCUGGAGGCUUCACAUCUCCUGAACCUGAAGGUGCAGGCAGUUUGUGAGCCGCCUGAUGUGGGCCCAGGGAACGGAAACUGUAUUGUCUACAAAUGCAUCACAAAUGAAGCGAUGCUGUUCGGUCUUCUCUCCAGCCUUGAAUCACAUCUACACCUUGCUGUUAUAAGGAUGGCUAAGGAGAAAACACCAUGAUCAAAGCAACUUACACCAGAAAGAGUUUCUGAGGAUCUACAGUUUCAGUGGGACAGGAGCCUAACACAACUGUCAUCAGAGGAUGGAUUGAAGGAGCCAGAGGGAUCAAGGACAUCACAAGAAAAUCUACAAAAUCAACUAACCUGGGCUAACAGGGGCUCAUAGAGACUGAACUACCCAUCAGAGAGCAUGCCCGGGACAGACCUAGGCCCUCUGAACACAUGUAGGACGUGUGCAGCUGGGUCUUCAUGUGGGACUCCUAACGCGGAAGCAGGGGCUGUCUCUGACUACAUUGCCUGCUUUUGGAUCCCUUCCCUCUCACUUGUCUAGCCUUAAUAGAAGAAUAUGUACCUAGUCUGACUGCAACUUGAUAGGCCAAGUCUGGUUGAUGUCCAGGAGAUGCCUCCCCUUUUCUGAGGAGAAGCAGAGGAGGGGUGGAUGGCCAGCAAGUGAGGUGAGAGAAGGGAUUGGGAGGAGCGGGUUGAAAAGCUGUGAUUGGGAUGUAAAUAGCUCAAUAAAAAGAAUUACUAAAACUUG